rnacentral:lncRNA from 1 species
CGAUGUGAACACAGACCCUUCUGCAUACCGCAUGUCACAUUCAGCGCGCAUGUCCUUCCCGCCUGCACAGCUCCCAGACUCGCCCGCCGCCCCGAAGCUGUUCGGCCUCCUUUCUAGCCCGCUUUCCAGCCUCGCAAGGUUCUUCUCUCACCUUCUCCGGCGACCCCCUCCCGAGGCUCCCCGGAGGCGCCUGGACUUCUCCCCCCUGCUUCCCGCCCUGCCGGCCGCCCGGCUCUCGAGGGGGCACGAGGAGCUGCCGGGCCGCCUCUCGCUCCUGCUCGGGGCGGCGCUGGCACUGCCCGGCCGACCCUCGGGGGGUCGUCCGCUGAGGCCCCCCCAUCCGGUAGCCAAGCCCAGGGAAGAAGACGCCACCGCUGGGCAGAGCUCGCCUAUGCCGCAGAUGGGAUCAGAGCGGAUGGAGAUGCGGAAGCGGCAGAUGCCCGCCGCCCAGGACACACCAGGCGCCGCCCCAGGCCAGCCCGGAGCGGGGAGUCGCGGGUCCAACGCAUGCUGCUUCUGCUGGUGCUGCUGUUGUAGCUGCUCGUGUCUCACUGUUAGAAACCAGGAAGAUCAGAGGCCCACAAUAGCUUCCCACGAACUCAGAGCAGAUCUUCCAACCUGGGAAGAAAGCCCUGCUCCUACUCUGGAAGAAGUCAACGCCUGGGCUCAGUCAUUUGACAAAUUAAUGGUCACUCCAGCAGGAAGGAAUGCAUUCCGUGAAUUCCUCCGAACAGAAUUCAGUGAGGAAAAUAUGCUCUUCUGGAUGGCCUGUGAGGAACUG